rnacentral:rRNA from 1 species
AUUGAACGCUGGCGGAAUGCUUUACACAUGCAAGUCGAACGGCAGCACGGACUUCGGUCUGGUGGCGAGUGGCGAACGGGUGAGUAAUGUAUCGGAACGUGCCCAGUCGGGGGGGAUAACGUAGUGAAAAUUACGCUAAUACCGCAUACGAUCUAUGGAUGAAAGCGGGGGAUCGCAAGACCUCGCGCGAUUGGAGCGGCCGAUAUCAGAGUAGGUAGUUGGUGGGGUAAAGGCCCACCAAGCCAACGAUCUGUAGCUGGUCUGAGAGGACGACCAGCCACACUGGAACUGAGACACGGUCCAGACUCCUACGGGAGGCAGCAGUGGGGAAUUUUGGACAAUGGGCGAAAGCCUGAUCCAGCCAUUCCGCGUGCAGGAUGAAGGCCCUCGGGUUGUAAACUGCUCUUGUACAGAACGAAAAGGUUUCUACUAAUACUAGGAGCUCAUGACGGUACUGUAAGAAUAAGCACCGGCUAACUACGUGCCAGCAGCCGCAGUAA